UGAUUUCUGUCUUCACCAGCAGAGUCCUGUCAACAAGUAUUUUAAUUUGCUAAAGAUUGAAUUAACCAGUUGCAUGAUUGCAUGUGAGUGAAGCAAUAAAUUUGAAUUUUUUAGACUUCUCUUGCUCCUGAGAAACCAAGAGAAACCAUCUAAGAAAAGCAUCAGGUGUUCUAUGAAAAUUCAUAAAAUACAGCAAGAUAAAAGAGAAAUUUUAACAAUUCAAUGAAGAAAAUAGAGCAAAAGAGAUAAUGAGGGUGGAAAAGGUAGGAAGAAGUUGGAAGAAAUCACGUUAAUAUCCAAAAUGCCUACCAUAAAGUUUUAUGAAGGAAAACCUUUUCAUGUACUGAAACCAAACAAUCUACAUCAAAGUUUGAACGAUCUUGGAUGCCUCACGUUUAAGAGCUUCCUGUCUACCACCUGAAUGUUAGUCCCACUCCAGGGCCCGGAGCCUCUGCUUCUGCCCCCAAGAGGCUGCCUGAAGCAUCUUUCCACCAAGGCAGAUAGUAGUUACCAAUACUCCAGAAAGUGACAUCUUCUUUACAUUUUUUUCCAAUAAAAUAACGCAGUUACAGUUUGUGAAAAAUAAA
rnacentral:lncRNA from 1 species